AAGUAUGCAAGUUUCUUCUAUCCCAUAUUGAUGGGACGAAACUUUUAAUGAGUUUAUAAGCUUAAUUUUUUGAUAGACAUUGAAAGGCUUUAGUAGAUUAAAGGAAUGAGUCAAGCUCAUUAGUGCGCAUAGCUUAGUACUAAUUUAUGUUGUGAGAGAUGAGGAGCUUUUACUUUUGACGAGUUCAAGUCAAGGGACCGAUCUGGUCAAAUGGUUGACCGUCGCUGACUUCGUAGAGGACAAGUCAGAAUAUUCUAGAAGGCCAAUAAAAUGGUUUGCUUAGAGAGCAAGUCGUUACCCUAGGGGUUCUAGGGCCCGUUUCAUGUCUUCUAGGGUUUCGAUACCUAUAAAUAGAAGUCGUAUUAGUCACUCACGAAAAUCGAAGCUCUCCUCCUCUCUCUACGAUUUUCUUCCAGUUUUCGAGUAUUACUAUGUUGCUUACAACCAAUAGAAGCGAAGUAAAAACCUUUAAGGACGGGAGUCCAAUCUGUGCAGUUAUUCCAAGUUCAAGAUCAACCAUCAACAUGUCGGUUUUAUUUUUCUAUCUUGCGUUUAAUUUCGUCCAACAACAGGACAAUCUUCUUCUACCUUUCUUAUAAUCAGAUCUAAUCAAGAAGGAUUGAUCUGAUUUCUGAACGAAACUUUGUAAUCAUAAUAAUAAUUGGGUUUGUUUAUCGUAAUUAAUCGACAUAUAAUUCUCAAUAUUAUUUGUUGGUCUCAUUGUGUGUCUGUUAGUUUGAUUCACAACAUUUAGUGAUCGGAUUGGUCGAUAAAUAAAUUAUCGUUUAUUGUUUAUACAAUUUAAUUGUAUAUACAAUUGAUGAUGCAUUACACGGUGUAUCAAUAAUGACUUGAAAUGUAGAAGUAAAAUAAAUGUUGCUUUCAUCGUGCUUAAGAAUUCCAAAACUCAAUUUGUAUCGAACAUAGGAAUAUAUAUAUAUAUAUAAUUUCAAUAUUUUUCAUCAUGUCUUACUAUUUUUCCCAAUUUUUGGUAAUUAUAAUGGUCUAAAAAUNAAUCUUGACAUAUUUAAAUAUGGUAGAUAAUUAAUAUGUUCUUUAUUGUUCCUUUAAAUAUGGGAUGUAGUCACAAUCUGUUGGAAGAAAACCCUAGCCGAUCACGUAUACAGCGAUUUAUCCUCCCUCUCGUUUUCCCAGCAUUGGUCCCAGCUAUUCAGCGGGGUUUCGGAGGUUUUGGGCUACCAUAGAAGGGGAGAUGUGCUAGAGGUUCGAUCAGAGGGCAGGAGGGGUUCCG
rnacentral:lncRNA from 1 species